rnacentral:rRNA from 1 species
ACGAACGCUGGCGGCGUGCUUAACACAUGCCAGUCGAACGGAAAGGCCCUGCUUUUGUGGGGUGCUCGAGUGGCGAACGGGUGAGUAACACGUGAGUAACCUGCCCUUGACUUUGGGAUAACUUCAGGAAACUGGGGCUAAUACCGGAUAGGAGCUCCUGCUACAUGGUGGGGGUUGGAAAGUUUCGGCGGUUGGGGAUGGACUCGCGGCUUAUCAGCUUGUUGGUGGGGUAGUGGCUUACCAAGGCUUUGACGGGUAGCCGGCCUGAGAGGGUGACCGGCCACAUUGGGACUGAGAUACGGCCCAGACUCCUACGGGAGGCAGCAGUGGGGAAUAUUGCACAAUGGGCGGAAGCCUGAUGCAGCAACGCCGCGUGCGGGAUGACGGCCUUCGGGUUGUAAACCGCUUUCGCCUGUGACGAAGCGUGAGUGACGGUAAUGGGUAAAGAAGCACCGGCUAACUACGUG